UCAUAUUUUGUUCUAGGAAUUGAGUUGUAAUUUUUGAGUUGUAAGUAAAUAAAAGUGUGAUGAUUUACGUUAUUAGAGCAUUGUCCCAUGUGAGAGAAAAGGAUGAUGGAAAGCUAUGAGUCCCUCACAAGUUGGAUGAGUAUCCAUACUUUACAAAAAAUAAAAGAGGCCAGCGAAGCCCAUAAAAAAUAAAAGAGGUCAAAGAUGC
rnacentral:lncRNA from 1 species